rnacentral:rRNA from 1 species
AGAGUUUGAUCCUGACUCAGGAUGAACGCUAGCGACAGGCUUAACACAUGCAAGUCGAGGGGCAGCAGGGGAGUAGCAAUACUCCCGCUGGCGACCGGCGCACGGGUGAGUAACACGUAUGCAACCUGCCCUUGUCAGGGGGAUAAGCGGAAGAAAUUCCGUCUAAUACCGCAUAACGCUGCGGGGAGACAUCUCCCUGCAGCCAAAGAUUUAUCGGACAAGGAUGGGCAUGCGGCGCAUUAGCUGGUUGGCGGGGUAACGGCCCACCAAGGCGACGAUGCGUAGGGGUUCUGAGAGGAAGGUCCCCCACACUGGUACUGAGACACGGACCAGACUCCUACGGGAGGCAGCAGUGAGGAAUAUUGGUCAAUGGCCGGGAGGCUGAACCAGCCAAGUCGCGUGAGGGAAGACGGUCCUAUGGAUUGUAAACCUCUUUUGUCAGGGAGCAAAAACUGCCACGCGUGGCAGGAUGAGAGUACCUGAAGAAAAAGCAUCGGCUAACUCCGUGCCAGCAGCCGCGGUAAUACGGAGGAUGCGAGCGUUAUCCGGAUUUAUUGGGUUUAAAGGGUGCGUAGGCGGACAGUUAAGUCAGCGGUAAAAUUGAGAGGCUCAACCUCUUCCCGCCGUUGAAACUGAUUGUCUUGAGUGGGCGAGAAGUAUGCGGAAUGCGUGGUGUAGCGGUGAAAUGCAUAGAUAUCACGCAGAACUCCGAUUGCGAAGGCAGCAUACCGGCGCCCAACUGACGCUGAAGCACGAAAGCGUGGGUAUCGAACAGGAUUAGAUACCCUGGUAGUCCACGCAGUAAACGAUGAAUACUAAUUGUUCGGGUCAAAUGAGAUCUGAGUGAUACAGCGAAAGCGUUAAGUAUUCCACCUGGGGAGUACGCCGGCAACGGUGAAACUCAAAGGAAUUGACGGGGGCCCGCACAAGCGGAGGAACAUGUGGUUUAAUCCGAUGAUACGCGAGGAACCUUACCCGGGCUCAAACGACACAGGAAUGAUCUGAGAAAUCAGACAGUCCUUCGGGACCUGUGUCGAGGUGCUGCAUGGUUGUCGUCAGCUCGUGCCGUGAGGUGUCGGCUUAAGUGCCAUAACGAGCGCAACCCCCAUCGACAGUUGCCAGCAGGUGAAGCUGGGCACUCUGUCGAGACUGCCGGCGCAAGCUGUGAGGAAGGCGGGGAUGACGUCAAAUCAGCACGGCCCUUACGUCCGGGGCGACACACGUGUUACAAUGGCAGGUACAGCGGGAAGCCACCUGGCGACAGGGAGCGGAACCCGAAAGCCUGUCUCAGUUCGGAUUGGAGUCUGCAACUCGACUCCAUGAAGCUGGAUUCGCUAGUAAUCGCGCAUCAGCCACGGCGCGGUGAAUACGUUCCCGGGCCUUGUACACACCGCCCGUCA